CGCCCGCGUGUCCGGCGGCGGCUCCGGGCCGCUUUUUCCAACGUGCCCGUCGUGCGGGCGCGCGCAACCCGUAGUAAUCAAUCGGCGCGGAGACCUUCGCCGUCGUUCGAAGCCUCCUUAAGCUUUUGCUUAAGUGCCAAGCAACUCCCUCCUUCCACUGAAGCGACCAAAUCCAAGCAGGCAGGCAAACAAACAGCUGCUUUUGAAGGCGAGAGCGAAACGUGACGUUCGUUCCAGGCUGUGGUAAUGCAUCACAUGAGCUGGAGAAGUAUUCUUUGUGCCUCUUGGGCAAAACGUGAGUUUUGGAACCCGAGGAGCUGGUUGCUGUUUGUAUGCACCCCACGUCCCAAGGAGCCUUCCCACUUGGUGCCCACGCCGAGCGUUCCCCCAGAGCUCUGCAGGCGCUCCGCAGCCAUACAUUCCUUAACCCACCCCCUCCUCCUGCAGGAUGCCAUCUCCUUUCCUCUUCAUUUGACACAGACAAGAAGCCGAGGUAGCGUGAGGACACAGGCUGUGGGUAGGCAGGGAGCGGGGAGCCGCGUGCCGUCCUGCGCCCAUCCCACAGCCACGCUUUCCGUCCCAAAUCCAGUGCCCAACACAGGGCCGGGCCGCAGCCUCCCGCUGGGAACUGGACGACAGGCUGCUUUGGCUCUGGGGUGCCCAGAUGAUGCCCGGCACGGCAGCUGUGGGCACGGAACUGUUGGGGCGCUCCUCUUGCAAAGGGCCUUUUGUAGAAGCGAGAGCAGCCCCGGCCACCUGUACUGCCCGCAGGCUGCUAGCAGGAAGCAAGCAGGGCCAUCAAACUCAGCAGGCGUGUCGGGGGCACCUCCGGCCCCCCGGGCACACACGGCUGGUUUGUUCUGCCCGCUGCUCAGCGGGGAUGGGAGGAGCCGGCUCCUAUCCUGGGCCAAACCCUCUGGCAGCGCUCGGUGAGCUCGCAGCCACCCGUGAGGCUGUACCCACGGAGUGGAGAGGCAGCAGGAUUAGCAGGCAGGGCAGGAGCAGAUUAGUGGCCGUAUCCAGGUCUGCACACGUGUGACAGGGCAGUAGGGCAGAGCCACGAAGGGAGGAGCGUGUUCAUCGAUCACAUGGAGGAAAACCCUACAGGCUACUGGAAAUCAGUUAUAAUGCAACUGCCCGCAGCAGCCCUGCAUGCCCUAGAGGUCCCCAGCCCACCGCUGAACUCAGUGCAGGCUUCCUUCAUCAGUCCCUUAGGGACAGAGCUCUCCUGUCACUGCCUGGGGAUACCUAUUUCAGGGAGCUAUGCUCACCUGUGUGCCACGGUCCCAUCCUACACUGCAGACCCAGGCUGUGCCGUCACCGCUGGCAGGGGGCUGCGCUGUCGUCCCACUGCCCCUUCCUGCUGCUGGACCUGCGGGACGUGCGGGCAGUGCUGCUGAAAUGGGGCCGUGGGGGCCUUUCCACUUCAGCAAGCACAAACAAACCCCAUUGUCUGCUGGCUCAGCAAGGGGCCCGGGCGCGUGUGGGGCUCCAGCCUCAUCUGUCAGCCUGAGGGGAGGCCCGGGGUGUCCCCAAGGCAGGGCAGCACUGCUGGAACAUGGGGCUUCAGCGCAGGCUGGGGGCACAAAUCCUCUGCCAAAGCCACUGCCAAGGGUCUCCCUUGCUGCUGCCUCCUGGAUGCGGCCCUUUCCACAGCAGUUCCUCCAUUCCCAUUCCCUUUCCACACCCCUGCUCCCCUCUACAGCUCCACUGACCCUUUGCUCCCUCUGCAAGCAUUUACUGCCUAAUGGCAGCUAUUAAACAGAGCCACAGGGCAGCUGGUUACUGAAUGACAGCCACCACACCACGGGUAUAGCACUGUUCUCUAUUCCACUGCGGGCAUCUUCCACCUGCAAGGAGCUGGGCUGAGACCUUGGGAAAUACGGGACAACACACAGUGUGGGCUCCUGGUUACACAAGUCAACCCCUGUGAGAUGCUCCGAGGCAUUGGGAAACCACAGCCCCGGGGCCAGCAGAGUGCCCCGUCCCAUGAGGCCACCACGCUCCUUGCCCCAAGUGUCCUUGGCAGCAGCGUGGCCAUACAAACCCGGAGUGGGUGGCCCACUGCUGCGGUGCCCAGGGUCACAUCCAGCCCUUGGUGGCAGCGCCAACACCCCGUGAAGGAGCAGAGCCGCUGGGGAAGGAGCCCGAUGGCGCCCAGCCAUGCUUGUAAAAUGCACCUGGGGAGCUGGGAAAGGGAUGACCUGCCAAGCAGAAGGGUCAGCUGCUGCCACGCGGUCCCCUCCCUGCCCAAAGCCCAUCCACACCGAGUGACAAUCAGGAGCCAUGCCUUCCCAAGGCACAGGGACAGCGGGCAGGGCCACGUGUGGCUUUCAAGGAGUGCCAUCACGGCCGGAUGCUGCUCACCCACCAUGGGGUUCUUAGGGACGGCGCCACGGGGACCGCAGGGACCAAAGGGAUGGCACCACAGGGACUGUGGCACGCAGCCACCUGCAGAGAGGCAGCUCCCGGGAGCUCUCCUAGCAGUGCCUGCCCCAGGCUGAACCCCGCCUGAUGGCUGCUGGCUGCCGAGGAGGAAUUCGGCUGUGUAAACGCCUGGCACAGCUGAGUGGAUCCUGUUUGAAGAAGGAAGCCUGCGCUGUCAUGCUUUCCCCUCCGGGCAGAUCAGCGGUGGCUGAACGCUCCCAAACAUCUCCUGGGGAGUUGUGCAGAAGGGCCCUUUCCCACAGCUCCGGCACACGGGCCGCCCAUUAUUCCCCCCGCUGCCAGCCGAGCUCGCCUGCGUUCCCAGCCCAUAAGAAGGCCCCGGGGCCAACCGGCGGAGCGCAACAAUGGGACAGCAAAAACAGCACAAAGCCGUGGCCAGGCGCCGAGCAAACCGAGCGCCAGGGAACGGGGGAAAGUCUACGCUCCCCAUCAGCUAUCCCAUGGCCUCCGUGGCCCCGGUGCAGAGUGCGCCCUUGCUCAGGGGAUGCGCUGGGAGAUGGAAAUGCGCAGGGGUGCCACCAGGGUUUGGCGUGCGGGUGAGGAGGUGAACGGAGCGGAGCACGGGGUGCCUCAAAAGAACAGCACCUGCUUCUCCCUGGGCGAGGGAUGCUGGGUACCAGGCUCACCGCGGCCCCGUUCCCGGCUCCCGUUUAAGCCGGGAGCCCCGCACCCAACCCGCGUCCCGCCCCUCAUCCCGCGCACGGCGGGGACGCGGGGCGCUGCCG
rnacentral:lncRNA from 1 species